UUUUUUUUUUUUUUUUUUUUUUUUUUUUUUUUUUUUCU
rnacentral:ribozyme from 1 species